rnacentral:rRNA from 1 species
ACCUUUUUUACUCUUGCCGGACUUAUCAUCAGCACAAUCCUAGUUUCUUCAUGUAAUACAUGACAAAUGGCCUGAGUGUGCCUUGAACUAAACACCUUUACAAUCCUACCCCUUAUCUCAAAAACAGGCCACCCUCGAGCAAUCGAAGCAUCAACAAAGUAUUUUCUUACACAAGCCAUCGCCUCAAGCAUUCUGCUGUUUUCAGCUACAAUCAACGCAUGACAAACAGGCUCUUGAGACAUUUCACAAACACAUAACAACUACGCCUCAACCAUAGCACUCUUUGCAAUUACAAUAAAAGCCGGAACCGUGCCUACCCACUUUUGACUACCAGAAGUAAUACAAGGAAGCUCCUUAUUAACCGCCCUCAUUAUCUCGACAUGGCAAAAAAUCGCCCCAGUAGUCCUAAUAUUCUCAAUAUAUAAUCACACCCCACCUUAUCUAACCCUAACCCUCGGCUUAAUGUCAAUUAUUUUUGGUGGAUGAGGCGGAAUAAACCAAACCCAACUACGAAAAAUAAUGGCCUACUCGUCAAUUACAAACAUAGGGUGAACAGUAUUAAUUUUAUCUUCAAACCCAAAAAUGUCAAUAAUUAACCUAUUUAUCUACAUUAUCUUAACAAUCCCAAUUUUCCUGUUAAUAAAACUAAUACUAACAAAAACAUUAAAAGACAUAACAUCGACAUGAUCAACCUCCCCCACAGGCACAAUAAUGUUAGCCCUUCUUCUUCUUUCAAUAGCCGGACUGCCCCCACUCACCGGACUAAUCCCAAAACUAAUAAUUUCUUUUAAACUAAUAAACCCAAACCUAGCCACAAUUUCCACUUUUGUUCAAAUAGCCCUCCUCCUAAACCUAG